rnacentral:tRNA from 1 species
GGCCUGGUGGUAGAGUGGUUAUGCAGCGGACUGCAAAUCCGCGUACGUCGGUUCAAUUCCGGCCCAGGCCUCCA